UUGCUAACCUCGGCAGUACAUACACUAAAAUUGGAAUAAUAUAAAGAAGAUUAUCAUGGUACCUAUGCAAGGAUUCCAUGAAAACUCAUGAAACAUUCCUCAUUUUU
ensembl:snRNA U6 U6 spliceosomal RNA